CCUUUAGGUUCGGAAUAACUCAGGGAAACUUGUGCUAAUACCGAAUGUGCCCUUCGGGGGAAAGAUUUAUCGCCUUUAGAGCGGCCCGCGUCUGAUUAGCUAGUUGGUGAGGUAAAGGCUCACCAAGGCGACGAUCAGUAGCUGGUCUGAGAGGAUGAUCAGCCACAUUGGGACUGAGACACGGCCCAAACUCCUACGGGAGGCAGCAGUGGGGAAUCUUGCGCAAUGGGCGAAAGCCUGACGCAGCCAUGCCGCGUGAAUGAUGAAGGUCUUAGGAUUGUAAAAUUCUUUCACCGGGGACGAUAAUGACGGUACCCGGAGAAGAAGCCCCGGCUAACUUCGUGCCAGCAGCCGCGGUAAUACGAAGGGGGCUAGCGUUGCUCGGAAUUACUGGGCGUAAAGGGAGCGUAGGCGGACAUUUAAGUCAGGGGUGAAAUCCCGGGGCUCAACCUCGGAAUUGCCUUUGAUACUGGGUGUCUUGAGUAUGAGAGAGGUGUGUGGAACUCCGAGUGUAGAGGUGAAAUUCGUAGAUAUUCGGAAGAACACCAGUGGCGAAGGCGACACACUGGCUCAUUACUGACGCUGAGGCUCGAAAGCGUGGGGAGCAAACAGGAUUAGAUACCCUGGUAGUCCACGCCGUAAACGAUGAUUGCUAGUUGUCGGGAUGCAUGCAUUUCGGUGACGCAGCUAACGCAUUAAGCAAUCCGCCUGGGGAGUACGGUCGCAAGAUUAAAACUCAAAGGAAUUGACGGGGGCCCGCACAAGCGGUGGAGCAUGUGGGUUUAAUUUCGAAGCAACGCGCAGAAACCUUACCACCUUUUUGACAUGCCCUGGAACCGCCAGAAAA
rnacentral:rRNA from 1 species